GGGGAAUUUUGGACAAUGGGCGCAAGCCUGAUCCAGCCAUGCCGCGUGAGUGAAGAAGGCCUUCGGGUUGUAAAGCUCUUUCGGUGGGGAAGAAAUCGCAUUCUUUAAUAGAGGGUGUGGAUGACGGUACCCGCACAAGAAGCACCGGCUAACUACGUGCCAGCAGCCGCGGUAAUACGUAGGGUGCGAGCGUUAAUCGGAAUUACUGGGCGUAAAGCGUGCGCAGGCGGUUAUAUAAGUCAGAUGUGAAAUCCCCGGGCUCAACCUGGGAACUGCAUUUGAGACGGUAUGGCUAGAGUGUGGCAGAGGGGGGUGGAAUUCCACGUGUAGCAGUGAAAUGCGUAGAGAUGUGGAGGAACACCGAUGGCGAAGGCAGCCCCCUGGGCCAAGACUGACGCUCAUGCACGAAAGCGUGGGGAGCAAAC
rnacentral:rRNA from 1 species